rnacentral:rRNA from 1 species
AGGGUGAGUAAUGCAUGGGUAACGUACCCUGGGCACCGGGAUAGCAGCGUCUGCUUCGGCAGACUACCGAAAGGGCUGGUAAUACCGGAUGCGGUCAGAAGCACUGCGGUGUUUUUGAUCAAAGGUUGGGGAUCUGCUUCGGCAGACCUUGCGGCCUGGGAGCGGCCCAUGUUCCAUCAGCUAGUUGGUAGGGUAAAGGCCUACCAAGGCUAUGACGGAUACCGGGGCUGAGAGGCUGAUCCGGCACAUUGGGACUGAGACACUGCCCAGACCCCCACGGGGGGCUGCAGUAACGAAUCUUCCGCAAUGGACGCAAGUCUGACGGAGCGACGCCGCGUGUGGGAUUAAGUCCCUCGGGAUGUAAACCACUGUCAGGGUUAUGGAAGCAAUCCGCAACAAUACAGCGGGGCGUAGACCUGACCCACAGGAAGCCACGGCUAACUUCGUGCCAGCAGCCGCGGUAAUACGAAGGUGGCAAGCGUUGUUCGGAAUAACUGGGCUUAAAGAGCAUGUAGGCGGCUGGGCAAGCAUCUUGUGAAAUCCCUCGGCUCAACCGAGGAAUUGCGAGGUGAACUGCUCGGCUUGAGCUGCAGAUGGGUGACUGGAACUCUAGGUGGAGUGGUGAAAUACGUAGAUAUCUAGGGGAACGCCGGUGGUGAAAACGGGUCACUGGAUGCAUGCUGACGCUGAGAUGCGAAAGCGUGGGGAGCGAACGGGAUUAGAUACCCCGGUAGUCCACGCCGUAAACGAUGGGCACUAGGUUCGGGUAAGUUUGACCUUUUCCGGGCCGAAGCUAAAGUAUUAAGUGCCCCGCCUGGGGAGUACGGUCGCAAGGCUAAAACUCAAAGGAAUUGACGGGGGCUCACACAAGCGGUGGAGCAUGUGGCUCAAUUCGAGGCAACGCG